GACGAACGCUGGCGGCGUGCUUAACACAUGCAAGUCGAACGGAAGGGCCCUUCGGUUGACUCGAUUGUCUAACGGGUGAGUAACACGGUGGUGAUCUGCUCUGCACUUUGUAAUACGCCUGUGAAACUGGGUCUAAUACGGAAUAGGACGACGCUCUUCUUGGUGGCUGGUGUAAAGCUUUUGCGGCGUUGGUUGGGCCCGCGGCCUAUCAGCUCGUUGGGGGGGUACUGGCUUGCCAAGGCGACGACGGGUAGCCGGCCUGAGAGGGUGACCGGCCACACUGGGACUGAGAUACGGACCAGACUCGUACGGGAGGCAGCAGUGGGGAAUAUUGCACAAUGGGGGCAAGCCUGAUGCAGCGACGCCGCGUGAGGGAUGACGGCCUUCGGGUUGUAAACCUAUUUCAAUAGGGACGAAGCGAAAGUGACGGUACCUAUAGAAGAAGCACCGGCUAACUACGUG
rnacentral:rRNA from 1 species